GUAGGUGAACCUGCGGAAGGAUCAUUAGUGAUAUUGAAAAUCCAUUUUUCAAGUCUCUAUAUAUACCCUUUUGUCAACCAUACCUUUGUUGCUUCCACUGGACCGACAUCAUCAUUGUAUGUCGUCUGGCAUCUUGUAUGCUGGGGAGUGCCGGUGGAAAGAUUUACAAUUUAAACUUGUCUUUAGAAACACUUGUCUGACAACUUUAUUCUUUAAUAAGAUAAAACUUUCAACAACGGAUCUCUAGGCUCUU
rnacentral:misc_RNA from 1 species